CUCUACACAGGUUUUGAUAAAUCUCCCCCUAUGUCUGUGCCACAGUGUAAAAGUACAGCAAGGCUCUGUUUUGGGGCGGAAGGGUGGAGAUUUACAGCAGAGGCGCUGCAGCCCUGGGCGCACAAGACUAAAAAGACCUAAAUAUGCAUUUAUUGGGGGGGAAUAAGGCCCACAGGAUUCUUAGAUAUCAUUCAUGUCCUCACAAGAAUCUUGAAGAGAUAAUGGAAAAACGGCUUGGAUUUUCUUUUAUUGUGACAAAACCCCUGUUUAUCAUUGGACUUUUGUAAAUAACAAGAAUGUGAUCUUUAUAAGUAAAUUCGCCUCCUGUG